GAACCUGUCGGACUAUAGUACGACUGCUUGCGACGCAAGGUUCCGGGUUCAAUUCCCGGUAGGGUCA